rnacentral:rRNA from 1 species
UUUAACAUGAGAGUUUGAUCCUGGCUCAGGAUGAACGCUGGCGGCGUGCCUAACACAUGCAAGUCGAACGAGGUAAAUAAGAUGAAGUUUUCGGAUGGAUUCUUAUUUGCCGAGUGGCGGACGGGUGAGUAACGCGUGGGUAACCUGCCUCAUACAGGGGGAUAACGAUUGGAAACGAUUGCUAAUACCGCAUAAGCGCACAGUAUCACAUGGUACAGUGUGAAAAACUCCGGUGGUAUGAGAUGGACC